CGCCCUCGAGACUUUGCACGAGCGAGAGUCUGGUACGAUAGCUAUUUAAUUUUUGCAACCAGUAGAGGGCGCUAAACAAAGAAAAUAAUGACAACAACAAUGGCGACUCCCAAGAAAGAACAUGACCGGAUUUACUUUUCUAAUAAGGAUAUUUGCGUUUGUUGUUCCUCAAAAAGCAAACAGAGAUAUUUCGUUGUGAAGAUUGACAAAAGUAAAGGUCCGGCAUUUGAUUUAGUUAGUUACUUCUACCAGAAAGACAUUAGCUUGGAAGAAAACAUCGGGAACUUCACCUGUAUAUCAUGCUUCAAGUUGCUGGAGCGAAUCAAAGAUAUGGACUGCAGGCGCUCACAUUUACAUAAUAAAGUUAUGUCAGCCUCUCAAACUUUCAAAGUGAUUACGGUGAAGAAACGUACUAUUAAUGAAAAAGAAGGUCACACGCCUCGGAUGUCAAAGCUUCCGGAUCUGAAAUCCACCCAGUCUAUUGUCAGAGACUUGAAGUUGAACUGCCAGGCUCUCUUAAAAAAACACCCAAACCACCAGCUAGGAGUAAGCUUGCGUCAAGGACAUUAUUUUCUCCCACUACAAAGAAAGAAACAGAUAGUCUUGCUGUGCCUCUCUCACCUUUAAGGAGCAAACAAGUACAUGAUAAAAAGAACGUGCAGAUUUCUGGUAAAGCAAAACUCAAACAUACAGUGUCAUUUCGUUCAUCAAAUCUUGUUGAACAGCUGCUGCCAGUUACAAAGGCUCUGGCCAAUGGUAGUAUCAGAAAGGCGUGUGCCUUACUUUUGAAUUCUGAUGAUAAAGCAGUGAAAGAAAGUGCACAAAAGGCAUUUCAAAUUGUGAUAGAUAGAGAGUGUAGUAGCUUUUCUAAGCAUGAUAUGGACAUUAACCUCAAGAAGACAGAAACCAGUGAUUUGGAGACUUUUGACUUGAAGAAACUUCAACAAGAUUUUGAAAUCCAUGCACCCUUUUUAUGGGCUUGUGCUUCUCAGGCAGGAACAUCACAAUACAGCAAAUCAUUUGACUGUGUUAAAGUUUGUGCAGCUUUGUGUGUCCUGAUUCAGGGGAGAUCAAGAAUUUUGAAUUCUCUUCAACAUGCUGUAGCCAUAGCAAUGUAUAACAAUCAGUUGCAAAAAAAUGGAUUCUUAGUGUUAUCAAAAUUAGGAUUUUCUGUAUCGCAUGCAACAAUGAAUACAAAGUUGAAUCUUGCUAAAACACAAAAUGAGAAACUUAUGAAAACUUAUAAAGGAAGUUUGGAGAACUCUGUUGUAUGCAAGAGCAAUGUUGAUAGGAUUGUAGCUGAGCACACAUAUGCAACUGAAAGCUCAUCAACUAGUGGAGUGAAUGAACAUUCAUAUGCAAUGUACAAUGUAGAACCACAGGAAGACAGUGCACCUCUGGGUUACAGAUUCAAUCUUGAUAAUCUGGACUUUCAUAUCCAAGUUCGAGAAAUGACAAAAGAGCAUCAAAAUGUUUCUCGACAUUAUACACAAAUUAUGGCCUUGGUAGAUCGGGUAAACUGUGAACAUUUGUCAGAUGAGCCAGUUGGAGAUUUGUUGAAUGUGGACAACAGUGAAUUUUUUCCCACAGUGGAAGAUAACUACACCUUGAGAAAAGACAUGAUACAUGUUGUUUCAAACAUUCUUGUGGAAAAUCUACCAUCCUUUGAAGUGUUUAAGAACAUUUACCCUACACACUUCUCGCACAUUUAUUCCAACGAAAUGGCAAAGAAAUCAACAGUGUUCCUUUCUUUUUUUUGAUGUAGAAUCAGCAGUGUUUUAUUGCAGUACUUCUUGCAUUCAGUUAGUAACAUGCAGUCGAUUCCACUGGGCAUCUUGCUUAAGAAUGAAAAUAAAACCAAUGAUAUGAUUGAGAUCCUUGAGCACCUGCAACAGUAUGUCCCUGGAGCCAGAUCAGAUGCUGAAAUGGAACAUAUUCAUGAAAGGUUAAUGGUUUUGUUUUUAA